rnacentral:rRNA from 1 species
UACGUAGGGCGCAAGCGUUGUCCGGAAUUAUUGGGCGUAAAGAGCUCGUAGGCGGUCUGUUACGUCUGCUGUGAAAACCCUGGGCUUAACCCUGGGCUUGCAGUGGAUACGGGCAGACUAGAGGCAGGUAGGGGAGAAUGGAAUUCCCGGUGUAGCGGUGAAAUGCGCAGAUAUCGGGAGGAACACCGGUGGCGAAGGCGGUUCUCUGGGCCUGACCUGACGCUGAGGAGCGAAAGCGUGGGGAGCGAACAGG